AUUGAACGCUAGCGGGAUGCUUUACACAUGCAAGUAGAACGAGUGGCGGACGGGUGAGUAAUAUCUCGGAACGUGCCCAGUAGCGGGGGAUAACUACUCGAAAGAGUGGCUAAUAACGCAUACUAUUGGAGCGGCCGAUAACGGAUUAGCUAGUUGGUGGGGUAAAGGCUAACCAAGGCAACGAUCCGUAGCUGGUGUGAGAGGACGAACAGCCACACUGUGACUGAGACACGGCCCAGACUCCGACGGGAGGCAGAAGUGGGGAAUUGUGGACAAGGGGGGAAACCCUGAUCCAGCCAUCCCGCGUGUAUGAGAAGGCCUUCGGGUUGUAAAGUACUUUUUGCAGAGAAGCGGUAUCUGCAGAAUAAGCACCGGCUAACUACGUGCCAGCAGCCGCGGUAAUAC
rnacentral:rRNA from 1 species